rnacentral:rRNA from 1 species
UUCUUUAAAAUUAAAAAUUUUGGCGGUAUUUUAGUCUAUUCAGAGGAACCUGUUUUUUAAUUGAUAGUCCACGAUAGGCGUUACUUUAACUUUAAAUUUGUAUAUCGUCGUUUAUAAAGAUUUUAUUAUAUAAUUUUUUCAGAUCAAGGUGUAGUUUAUGUUAAAGUUGGAAUGGGUUACAUUAAAAAGUUUAAAUAAAUUGGAUUUGAUAGUAAGCUCUAAAAUAUGCACAUAUCGCCCGUCGCUUUCAUUAUAAAAUGGAAUAAGUCGUAACAAAGUAGGCUUAUUGGAAAAUGGGCCUAGAAUGCAAAUUAGAGCUUGAUAAGCAUUUUAUUUACACUAAAAAGUUAGUUGUGAAAUUCAACUUAAUUUGAAUUUAUUUAGUUAUUUGUUUUUAAUUUAUUUGUUAUUUAAUAGAAGUAAUUGAUUUUUUAUUAUUUUUUGGAAAAAAUUUAAUUAUAGUUUAUAGUAUAGUGAUAGAAUCUUUUAAAAUUUUAAUAAGAAAGUUUUGUUUGCUGUACCUUGUGUCUCAGGGUUAAUUAAUUUAUUAUUCUCGAAUUUAAAAGAGCUAAUUUUAUUGUUAAAUAAAUAUUUAUAAUAGUUAAUUUGAAAUGAAACGUUAUUCGUUUUUAAAUAUAUCUAGUUUUUUAAGAAAAAAGUUUAAUUUUAUUAUUAAUAUUCAAUUUUGAUAAGGGAUAAGCUUUUAAGUAUAUUUUUAUAAAUUAUUUUAUUUUUAGAAGUUAUAGGAUUAGAAUUUUCUAUUAUUAAAAGAAUGUUAUAAUUGAUAAUUUUAAUUUUUUUAUUAAAAUAUUAAUUUUAAUUUUUUGUUUUAAGUAAUAAUGAUUGAAUUAGUAAGUUUAUAUUAAGGAAUUCGGCAAAUGUUAUUUUCACCUGUUUAAUAAAAACAUGUCUUUUUGAAUAUAAUUUAAAGUCUUACCUGCCCAAUGAUUAAAUGGCCGCAGUAUCUUGACUGUGCAAAGGUAGCAUAAUCAUUAGUUUUUUAAUUGAAAGCUGGAAUGAAUGGUUUGAUGAGAAAUAAGCUGUCUCUAUAAUUUUAAUUUUAAGUGAAAAAGCUUAAAUUUGAUACAAAGACGAGAAGACCCUAUAGAGUUUUUUUGUUGGGGUGAUGUAAAAAUUUAAUUAACUUUUUAUUUUUAUGAAUA